UGCACACUAAUUUAGAACAGUUUGUUAAGAAAUUGGUUUUGGAGAGAAAACAUGAGAGGAAGGGAAACAUCUCAAAAUAGUUUCAUACAAUCCCAGCCCAAACCUAUUGACUUCAGUGUGUCAUCAGUCUCCUGUGACAAUAAUAUGAGAAUUACCAUUUGUUUUCUUUAUGGGCACAACGCAGCAGCUCUACUUAGCACAGCUCUGCUGCUGGGGCUGCCAAAAUCACCACUUCACUGAAGCCCAGGCUGGGCAGUUGGCUGAAGAAUUUUCCCUUUUUCCCUUCUCCUGCUGGCUUCAGCAGCACAGUGGAGGGGAUGACUUUUGUAAUUCCCUUUUUCAAACUGCUGAAAUCAGGGUUUUUUUUGGAUAUAAAGGAAAUGUGAAAGCAAUUUCAAUCUAAUUAAGCAUAUACAAUAGGUACCCAUAAUAUUCUCUAGUCAAAGAGCGUAUUGAUCUAUAAUGGAAGGUUUCAUUAAUUCCAUUUGAGGAGGCAUGUUAACAAAUGAGGGCAGUAACAUCUGAUCUGGUGAGUGCCUCGAGUUUCCUCUCUUCUUUCUGCACUAAAAUCUCAGAGUUAAGCUAACCAGAUCAAAUAUUAUUUUUCUUUUAUUUGUCCAUCUUCUUAUAGGACCUACGGAUGGAAGGUCCUAUCUGCACAAUUAAUGCAGAACUCCUACUGAAAUCUGUGUGUUUGCACCACUCUGCUGAGUUUCAAUUCUGACUACGUUAAUAAUUAGAAUUGUACGUAAUGUCAGUAAGAAGAAGUCCCUCUAUCCAGUUUGGGCCACUAGCUGGAGAUACCACUCUCUAUACACUGAAAGUUCUCAACCACUAGCUUACACUGGAAACCUGCCUACAACCAUCUGAAGUUAGAUGAGAUGAGUCCUGCUUUUUAUGUUAGAUACAGAAGAAGAAAGAAGUCGUCAAACCAAAACCAAUAUGUGGUGCUGAUAGAUGAGGACAUUCACCAUAUUCCCUUGACUACAGAUUAUAUUCAGGCAACAACCCUGCCAUAAUUUCAGGAAAACAACUGCAGAGUCCUUGCACAAGACAUGACAGCAGUUCACAUAAAGAGAAACAGGCAGGGAGGAAGGGGUAACCAGGAACAUCCGCAGAAAUACACAGCUGAAGUUCUAGCAGCCCAGUGCUCAAGUGUGCACUCACAACGUGAUAGACAGAGAACUUCACAGACUGCCCAAGUCGUGCCUUGUCAUUCCUAUCACACAUAAAGGUGAGGAAAAGAGGAUAAACUAUUGCAAAGUUCUGUGUUUGCAGACCAUUUCUCCUGACUAGUAACUCUUCACCUGUAAAGCCUUAGGCUAGAUACUACCUUUAUGAAGGUCAUGUCGCAGCCAAUGUAAAUUCAUUGUGGACAGUAUCAGAAUAAACCCAGCUUAAAAUGGGAAAUCCUUCCAAAUACAAUCACCACCUGUCUUUACAAAACAUUUACAUGUGGAACAAAAAGCAGGCCUCAGCUAUCCUGCCGCCCUGGAAGUCAUGGCAGAGCAGCAGGGGUGUACAGGAAGGUCUGCAGUUACCACUUACAGAUGCUUGAAACCUGGUAGCAAAAUGCAAUCAGUGUUAGACAUAAAUAAAGGAAGUUUAUACAUAUUUUAAACAGUACCUAUUUUUGGAUAUCCAUAUAUUUAGGUUAAGAACAUCUGUGAUAACAGAUCUGCGAAACCUAAAAAAAAAAAGAUUCCUUUACCUACUGUGGGCUUACAGAAUCUGAAGUUAAAAUCCUGCUCAUUGUUUGAUGUACACAUGGACCUUCCUUUCAACGCACCAGCUCCAUAGAGAAAUCAUCAGCUUGAAUCACCUAUUCCAAGUGGUACUCAGGACAGAACUCUCACAAGCAGGAUUGAUGACAUAUCAAGCAGGAUUGAUGGCAUAUCCAAAUCCAAAUUUGGAGUUUGGUUAUUGCCUUUAUCUGUCUACUGCAAGAAAAGGCCUCAUUCCUGUACCAGAGCAAAAGAAACUUUCCUUUUCUUUCCUUUAAACUACUGAUAGAGUCUGGUCUGAUGGCAUUCCACAUUUUAAC
ensembl:lncRNA